rnacentral:rRNA from 1 species
ACGAACGCUGGCGGCGUGCUUAACGCAUGCCAGUCGAACGGAAAGGCCCUGCUUUUGUGGGGUGCUCGAGUGGCGAACGGGUGAGUAACACGUGAGUAACCUGCCCUUGACUUUGGGAUAACUUCAGGAAACUGGGGCUAAUACCGGAUAGGAGCUCCUGCUGCAUGGUGGGGGUCGGAAAGUUUCGGCGGUUGGGGAUGGACUCGCGGCUUAUCAGCUUGUUGGUGGGGUAGUGGCUUACCAAGGCUUUGACGGGUAGCCGGCCUGAGAGGGUGACCGGCCACAUUGGGACUGAGAUACGGCCCAGACUCCUACGGGAGGCAGCAGUGGGGAAUAUUGCACAAUGGGCGGAAGCCUGAUGCAGCAACGCCGCGUGCGGGAUGACGGCCUUCGGGUUGUAAACCGCUUUCGCCUGUGACGAAGCGUGAGUGACGGUAAUGGGUAAAGAAGCACCGGCUAACUACGUG